UACAGAGGUCUCAAGCGUUGUUCGUAUUCAUUGGGCGUAAAGGGUGCGUAGGCGGCGCGGUAAGUCGGGUGUGAAAUCUUGGAGCUUAACUCCGAAACUGCAUUCGAUACUGCCGUGCUUGAGGACUGGAGAGGAGACUGGAAUUUACGGUGUAGCGGUGAAAUGCGUAGAUAUCGUAAGGAAGACCAGUGGCGAAGGCGGGUCUCUGGACAGUUCCUGACGCUGAGGCACGAAGGCCAGGGGAGCAAACGGG
rnacentral:rRNA from 1 species